rnacentral:lncRNA from 1 species
UAGUUUAUAUAGAAAAGCCUCAACUACCACAUUAAAUUGAUUCUGAAUUGAAAAUGAAAAAUGAUGUUUACCAGCCAACUGCAACUGAUAAUCUUACAUCAAAUGAAGACGGAGUUGUCGAAACAACAGUACGCUUUCAAUUACCAUUUAAAUGGAAAGCGUUGAUCGUCGGUUUGUGUUUGCUUUGUUUGAUUUUGUUGAUUUCAUUAAUUGUUGUCGCCAGUAAGAAGAAAUGCGAUUAAAAUUGGCGGGAGAUGUAAAAAAUUUUAAUUUUAUGGGAAUAGUAAAAAAAUAGUUUCAUUAAUUUAAAUUCUUUUCUAGGGUUUUAAGCUGUAUUUAUUUUAUAUUUUAUAAGAAUUACGAUUUCAUAAAAUUAUGAAGUUGUGCUUUUUACAAGAUUUUACUAUAUCAAAUUUUAGAUAAAUUUUAUUUCAAGGGUGAUUGUUUUGUUUUUAUAUGUAUUAUUGUUUGUAUCAUUUUAAAUGUUCACUAAAUUGUCAAAAAUAUUUAGUAUAAAUAAUAUUGUGCAA